AAAGUCGUAACAAGGUCUCCGUAGGUGAACCUGCGGAGGGAUCAUUACCGAGUGAGGGCCUCCGGGUCCGACCUCCAACCCCAUGUUAACCGACCCUGUUGCCUCGGGGGCGACCCGGCCUUCGUGCCGGGGCCCCCGAUGGACCUUCAAACACUGCAUCUUUGCGUCCGAGUCAAUAUUUGAAUAAAUCAAAACUUUCAACAACGGAUCUCUUGGUUCUG
rnacentral:misc_RNA from 1 species